rnacentral:misc_RNA from 1 species
AAGUCGUAACAAGGUUUAAGUGAACCUGCGGAAGGAUCAUUAACACGUAUCCAAACGUUAAAACCCCCCCCGUGAACAUUGAUUCCUGCUCUUGUAACCCGCGAAGCUUGCAAUCCCUGGUAAAUCAUAGCCCGGAAAGUAGUUUUGAUUCAGAGACCUCUGGCCCGUGCGAAAAUUGGAACAGUUACAAUUCGAGCGGUAGUUCUAUAGGCCUUUUUUCCCCAAGCAGGAGCUAGGCCAAAGGGUCCCCAUGCCCCCUUACAACCCCACAGUUAAAUGUGAAGCUCAAUGUAAUACAUUGUUAACAAUGGAUAUCUUGGUUCUC